rnacentral:rRNA from 1 species
UACGAGGGGGGCAAGCGUUGUUCGGAAUUAUUGGGCGUAAAGGGUGCGUAGGCGGUCUGACAAGUCUGAUGUGAAAUCUAUGGGCUCAACCCAUAGUCUGCAUCGGAAACUGUCGGGCUUGAGUAUGGGAGAGGUGAGUGGAAUUUCCGGUGUAGCGGUGAAAAUGCGUAGAUAUCGGAAGGAACACCUGUGGCGAAAGCGGCUCACUGGACCAUUACUAGACGCUGAG